rnacentral:rRNA from 1 species
AAGGUUAAGCCUCACGGUUCAUUAGUACCGGUUAGCUCAACGCAUCGCUGCGCUUACACACCCGGCCUAUCAACGUCGUCGUCUUCAACGUUCCUUCAGGACUCUCAAGGAGUCAGGGAGAACUCAUCUCGGGGCAAGUUUCGUGCUUAGAUGCUUUCAGCACUUAUCUCUUCCGCAUUUAGCUACCGGGCAGUGCCAUUGGCAUGACAACCCGAACACCAGUGAUGCGUCCACUCCGGUCCUCUCGUACUAGGAGCAGCCCCCCUCAGUUCUCCAGCGCCCACGGCAGAUAGGGACCGAACUGUCUCACGACGUUCUAAACCCAGCUCGCGUACCACUUUAAAUGGCGAACAGCCAUACCCUUGGGACCUACUUCAGCCCCAGGAUGUGAUGAGCCGACAUCGAGGUGCCAAACACCGCCGUCGAUAUGAACUCUUGGGCGGUAUCAGCCUGUUAUCCCCGGAGUACCUUUUAUCCGUUGAGCGAUGGCCCUUCCAUUCAGAACCACCGGAUCACUAUGACCUGCUUUCGCACCUGCUCGCGCCGUCACGCUCGCAGUCAAGCUGGCUUAUGCCAUUGCACUAACCUCCUGAUGUCCGACCAGGAUUAGCCAACCUUCGUGCUCCUCCGUUACUCUUUAGGAGGAGACCGCCCCAGUCAAACUACCCACCAGACACUGUCCGCAACCCGGAUUACGGGUCCACGUUAGAACAUCAAACAUUAAAGGGUGGUAUUUCAAGGUCGGCUCCAUGCAGACUGGCGUCCACACUUCAAAGCCUCCCACCUAUCCUACACAUCAAGGCUCAAUGUUCAGUGUCAAGCUAUAGUAAAGGUUCACGGGGUCUUUCCGUCUUGCCGCGGGUACACUGCAUCUUCACAGCGAGUUCAAUUUCACUGAGUCUCGGGUGGAGACAGCCUGGCCAUCAUUACGCCAUUCGUGCAGGUCGGAACUUACCCGACAAGGAAUUUCGCUACCUUAGGACCGUUAUAGUUACGGCCGCCGUUUACCGGGGCUUCGAUCAAGAGCUUCGCUUGCGCUGACCCCAUCAAUUAACCUUCCGGCACCGGGCAGGCGUCACACCGUAUACGUCCACUUUCGUGUUUGCACAGUGCUGUGUUUUUAAUAAACAGUUGCAGCCAGCUGGUAUCUUCGACUGAUUUCAGCUCCAUCCGCGAGGGACUUCACCUACAUAUCAGCGUGCCUUCUCCCGAAGUUACGGCACCAUUUUGCCUAGUUCCUUCACCCGAGUUCUCUCAAGCGCCUUGGUAUUCUCUACCUGACCACCUGUGUCGGUUUGGGGUACGAUUUGAUGUUACCUGAUGCUUAGAGGCUUUUCCUGGAAGCAGGGCAUUUGUUGCUUCAGCACCGUAGUGCCUCGUCAUCACGCCUCAGCCUUGAUUUUCCGGAUUUGCCUGGAAAACCAGCCUACACGCUUAAACCGGGACAACCGUCGCCCGGCCAACAUAGCCUUCUCCGUCCCCCCUUCGCAGUAACACCAAGUACAGGAAUAUUAACCUGUUUCCCAUCGACUACGCCUUUCGGCCUCGCCUUAGGGGUCGACUCACCCUGCCCCGAUUAACGUUGGACAGGAACCCUUGGUCUUCCGGCGAGCGGGCUUUUCACCCGCUUUAUCGUUACUUAUGUCAGCAUUCGCACUUCUGAUACCUCCAGCAUACCUCACAGUACACCUUCACAGGCUUACAGAACGCUCCCCUACCCAACAACGCAUAAGCGUCGCUGCCGCAGCUUCGGUGCAUGGUUUAGCCCCGUUACAUCUUCCGCGCAGGCCGACUCGACCAGUGAGCUAUUACGCUUUCUUUAAAUGAUGGCUGCUUCUAAGCCAACAUCCUGGCUGUCUGGGCCUUCCCACAUCGUUUCCCACUUAACCAUGACUUUGGGACCUUAGCUGGCGGUCUGGGUUGUUUCCCUCUUCACGACGGACGUUAGCACCCGCCGUGUGUCUCCCGUGAUAACAUUCUCCGGUAUUCGCAGUUUGCAUCGGGUUGGUAAGUCGGGAUGACCCCCUUGCCGAAACAGUGCUCUACCCCCGGAGAUGAAUUCACGAGGCGCUACCUAAAUAGCUUUCGGGGAGAACCAGCUAUCUCCCGGUUUGAUUGGCCUUUCACCCCCAGCCACAAGUCAUCCGCUAAUUUUUCAACAUUAGUCGGUUCGGUCCUCCAGUUAGUGUUACCCAACCUUCAACCUGCCCAUGGCUAGAUCACCGGGUUUCGGGUCUAUACCCUGCAACUUAACGCCCAGUUAAGACUCGGUUUCCCUUCGGCUCCCCUAUUCGGUUAACCUUGCUACAGAAUAUAAGUCGCUGACCCAUUAUACAAAAGGUACGCAGUCACACGCCUAAGCGUGCUCCCACUGCUUGUACGUACACGGUUUCAGGUUCUUUUUCACUCCCCUCGCCGGGGUUCUUUUCGCCUUUCCCUCACGGUACUGGUUCACUAUCGGUCAGUCAGGAGUAUUUAGCCUUGGAGGAUGGUCCCCCCAUAUUCAGACAGGAUACCACGUGUCCCGCCCUACUCAUCGAGCUCACAGCAUGUGCAUUUUUGUGUACGGGGCUGUCACCCUGUAUCGCGCGCCUUUCCAGACGCUUCCACUAACACACAUACUGAUUCAGGCUCUGGGCUGCUCCCCGUUCGCUCGCCGCUACUGGGGGAAUCUCGGUUGAUUUCUUUUCCUCGGGGUACUUAGAUGUUUCAGUUCCCCCGGUUCGCCUCAUUAACCUAUGGAUUCAGUUAAUGAUAGUGUGUCGAAACACACUGGGUUUCCCCAUUCGGAAAUCGCCGGUUAUAACGGUUCAUAUCACCUUACCGACGCUUAUCGCAGAUUAGCACGUCCUUCAUCGCCUCUGACUGCCAGGGCAUCCACCGUGUACGCUUAGUCGCUUAA